UGCUUGCUCCAUUCAGUAGUUAUUAUAUUCAAUCUCAAGUAGGCCAGCAUUUUAGCCACCAGUCAAGAGAUUUCUAUAAAGUUUGCGAGGUGCAGAAAUCCUUGGCAUGUAUUUUAUUGGGUGCUUUAAAUGUACUAUAUAAAGCAUUAGUGUGGAGAAAUUAUAAAAAUUAUAACACUCUAACCAUUUCAUUUUUAAAAUGAGUUAUCUGUAUAUUAAGUGCUGAUGGUGUAAGUUAAAAGCACAUAGGGAGAGCUUAAAUACAUGAGUGGGGCACAAAAUGCAUGCUCAUUUUCCAUUUUUCUCUGGCCACUUUCAGGUAUAAUACAUAUCAUUUAACUGCCUAAUCCAUUAACAAGGAUGGUUUCUCACCUGCAUGUGCCUAAAUGGAAGUCUAGAAAUAUCCCGGUUCAAGACUGCAGCGGGUGAAUAUAUCCAGAAAACUUAUAAGACGAAAACUGCACAAGUUACUGGGUGUCUGAAGAUGUCAGGAGGCAACAUGGAAUUUUUAAUGUGCUGGAAUGUAAAAGAACCACUUGCUGAGAAUAAUAAAGAAGUAGUGUUCUGGUUGUAGCUGGGAAUGCAAAAAAUAUUCACAGAGGUUAUUAUAGAUUGGAGCCAUGCUGUGGAAAGAUGAUGAAAUAAUUCUAAAAUCUCGGUGUGACUUCUGGUAAUUUCUAAUACAAAUAGAAGUGUGGAAUCAAGGAAGAAGAAAAAUCUACAUGUGCCAUAAUAUAUUUUGGGACCAUUUAAAAUAUAUCCAUCUCUUCUAAUUCUAAUUAUACAACUGAUUCAAGUUGGGCAGCUAUACCGGUAUGGAGAACUGUGGACAAAUAACACAAAAGACAUUCUUCUCUUUUAUGAAAUGAGAAGUCUAACCAAUGACAGUAACAAGAAGAGCAAUUCUUAAGUCCUCUUAUUCAAGUACAAUAAAUUAGUAAAAUAUUAUUGACCAUGUUCAUGAUUUAUUGUUCUAUUUUUGUUUUGGGAAGACAUCUUGAAUAGGCUGCUAGUAAGAUUAGGAAAAUAAAGUACAUAGUAAAGAAAUGGUAGAAUCAGUCACAUUUGGUCUCUCUGAUACUUAGUUCAUCACAUGUCAAUUCACUAAUCAUCAAGGUCCACUCAAGUCAUAAAAAAUUCUGUAAUUCUUCAAAUAUAGUAAUUCUCAUUGAUUCAAAUCUGUUGAAAAGAUUACUACAUCAGAGAAAAAUAGGUGAGCAAAUGACCAUUCUCUGAUGUUAGAGGAGAGAAGUCAAAUAUAGCAUUUUUUUUAGACUAAGAUUAGUAUGAGCAUUGGUAAAGUCUCCUCUUCUUCCAUUUCCCAAGACAAAGACUAAAGAAUACUUCUUUCAAAUCUUUUUUUAUGAAUUAAAAACAUUAAAAAAAUUU
rnacentral:lncRNA from 1 species